rnacentral:rRNA from 1 species
AAUCAACGCUGGCGGCGUGCCUAACACAUGCAAGUCGAACGAGAAAGGGGCUUCGGCCCUGGGUAAAGUGGCGCACGGGUGAGUAACACGUGACUAACCUACCCUGGAGUGGGGAAUAACUUCGAGAAAUCGAGGCUAAUACCGCAUAACACCUACGGGUCAAAGGAGCAAUUAGCUUCAGGAGGGGGUCGCGGCAGAUUAGUUAGGUGGCAGGGUAAUGGACUACCAAGACAGUGAUCUGUAUCCGGGCCGAGAGGGCGCACGGACACACUGGAACUGAACCACGGUCCAGGCGCCUACGGGAGGCAGCAGUGGUGAAUUUUGCGCAAUGGGGGAAACCCUGACGCAGCAACGCCGCGUGGAGGAUGAAGUCUCUUGGGACGUAAACUCCUUUCGACCGGGACGAUAAUGACGGUACCGGAAGAAGAAGCCCCGGCUAACUUCGUGCCAGCCGCCGCAGUAACAC